rnacentral:rRNA from 1 species
UAAUGGCAGGUCAGCAUACUGCCGUGAAUACGUUCCCGGGCCUUGUACACACCGCCCGUCACACCAUGAGAGUUGGAGAUACCCGAAGCCUGUGAGCUAACAAACGAGGCAGCAGUCGAAGGUAGAAUCAAUGAUUGGGGUGAAGUCGUAACAAGGUAAC